rnacentral:rRNA from 1 species
UACGUAGGGGGCAAGCGUUGUCCGGAAUCAUUGGGCGUAAAGAGCGUGUAGGCGGUUCGGUAAGUCGGCUGUGAAAGUCGGGGGCUCAACCCUUGAAAGCCGGCCGAUACUGUCGGACUAGAGUCCGGAAGAGGCAAGUGGAAUUCCCGGUGUAGCGGUGAAAUGCGCAGAUAUCGGGAGGAACACCAAUGGCGAAGGCAGCUUGCUGGGACGGUACUGACGCUGAGGCGCGAAAGCCAGGGGAGCGAACGGG